GAUUUUGUUAGCGUUCCCGGCGUUGCGCGCGUCCGGGAGGCCCACGAGGGCCCAGGGAAGGCGGUAGAAGCCGCCGCGACCCCGUCACUGUGAUCGGGGACGAAACCCGCGAGUGCCACUGGCCGGCAGCAGGGUCGGGAAGGCGCGGGGAGUAGGACGAUCCGAGAGCCAGGAAACCUGCCCGGGCGCCUAUCCGAAA
rnacentral:ncRNA from 2 species